CGAUGAAGGAAACAUCUGUGCUGUGUCUGCUCUGAAAUCCAGCAGCCAGUUACACAGCGAGGUGCUGAUGCCCAGCAGAUCCAGUUUGUGAAUGAGUUGCUGGGGAAAGAUGGUGUUGAACACUGAAGUCCGUGAACAUCAUUCUAACAUAUGAGUGUCCAGAUGUGUGAGGGCUGAAUAAGAGUACAGUUGAAAUGGCAUCCUUGGUCGAGAGGUUUGACCGCCCACGCCCUCGGGAAAUGAGACACCUGGGUCUCAUUAAGGGGAGCAGCAUUUAAGCCAGGAGGUGACUGCUGUUCGUCGCUGGAUCGUUGUCUACCACGCGUUAGUGAAGUCAAGCUACAGUAAGUUUAGUUAAGAGUGUUUUCCUUUGUGCGUCGUUCUUAACCCUGUCUCCCUGUCUACAGAGCUUCCUGGAUUUCCCCCGUGUGAUUCCCGUGUGGUAGUGUCGGAGUGUGAGCCUGUGAUCGUGUGAGUGGAUACUCUGAAGAACGCGUGCUUUCCCCUGGACUUCCCUGGAGACCCCUUCUCCCCCCACUCAGCUGUACAUAACACCCCCCCCCGCACAUUCUUGUAUAUACACUCCACACUGACUCCAAGAUGGCGCGGCCACGUCCAGACGCCUUCCUGACCGCUCCGCUCCGACUACGUGACAUGAGGGACUGCAACAUUCUGUGCUUCACGGAGACAUGGCUGUCCCCC